UACGGGGGGGGCAAGCGUUGUUCGGAAUUACUGGGCGUAAAGGGCUUGUAGGUGGCCAACUAAGUCAGACGUGAAAUCCCUCGGCUUAACCGGGGAACUGCGUCUGAUACUGGAUGGCUUGAGUGUGGGAGAGGGAUGCGGAAUUCCAGGUGUAGCGGUGAAAUGCGUAGAUAUCUGGAGGAACACCGGUGGCGAAGGCGGCAUCCUGGACCAUUUCUGACACUGAAAAGCGAAAGCCAGGGGAGCAAACGGG
rnacentral:rRNA from 1 species